GACAGUAAGCUGCAACAUUCAGUCCCGCUUUUCCUCUCCCUUCGUUUUUAUUGCUGUGUGUCGUAUUUCAUUCUUCACUCCAAAUCUUUUACGUGCAUUCGAAUAUCCAGAUUCUUCACGACCGUUUUCUAAAUUGGUUCGUAAAUUCCUGGUUCUAAAUUUAACGAAAGCCUCUGCACACCUGGAAAUAAUUUAUGAGGAAAACAAACACCAUUCAACCGUAUAUCCCUAACCCGAAGCCCAAACGGACUCGAACAUUAUCGACAGGGAGUGAAAACAUGCCACAUUUUCUCACAGAUACCGCACCUCAAGACAGGCAUCGGUGUAAUCGAAAGUAAACACAAUUUCCUAUUAACCUUCUCGCAGCUCAUCGUCACCCGGCUCACUCCCUCCUCCCGAGUCCGGGUCCAGAAUGCUUCGCACCCGUCUCCAGCUCACGUAUCAUUUCAAUUAAUCCGGCCGCCAGCCACUAUCAUUUUAUUUUUAUCGUUCGCAUUUUUCCCAUCCCCGUUCCCCAUCAUGGUGGAUCUGCCCUUUUCUCCUCGACUCCUCGACGACCGGUUUGCAGUUAGUUUAUGCCUUUUUCUCUACCGCCCCCCCCCCCCCCCCCACCUGUCUCCCUGUCACUCAGCAUUUUGUGUUUCGAUUUACGACCACCCAAGCAUUUGUGACAUAUUUUUCUGCAAAAUUGCUUCCGCUUUUUGUGACCCCGUUUUUCUACUCUCUUUCACGGUCGGGGCUCGGGUACAGGCAGCCGAGCCAAACGAAACCAGUUUUAAUCGUCCUGCAGUUCGUUGUUCGUGGACGUGAAUGAAGGAUGACUGUACCUUGUCAUCGGGCUACGAAUGGGCGAGAGGGGGGGUUCACGAGACUCUUAAUUAAUUUUCCAUGCUCUCCUCUUCCUCUUACCCUGGGGGGGGGUUUCCCUGGGGUACUUCAAAAGUGACCAGUUGUAGCAUCAGAAGCAUGUAACCAUCUCAGACGUGUCUUAGAGCAUUGACCACCGAGAGGCAACGAGAAAAAAAAACGAAACUGAACGUCUUGACCAAUAUAUUUGCCCUCGAAGGAUUUUUGCUUCCUCUUCUUCGGCAAAACCUUAUUAUCUCCGUCUGCUUAGUGCAAAUCGUAUGUCCAUCAUCAGAAAACUCACCCGACCGGGUGUUUUGUUGGUUCUUUUGCGAAACCUGGAGUGGACCUUGCGGAAGUGGUCUUUUUUUAAUUUGUUACGUACUUUGUCCUUCCCAACGUGCAUCAACCUUCGCGAUAGCGUGUUGAAGCUUGGAAUUCUUAACGCUGCUUACUUUCCGGUUUAAAAUUUAAAAAGCAGUCCACUGUACGAUGGAAAUAAAUUUACA